UAAAGAGGGGUCAUAAACUCAUGAACUUUCAGAUGUUGCAACAAAUUGGGGAACAAAACAUUUUUCCUUUUUCAAAUAUAUUAAGUAAAUCUUAUUACAUAGCAUUUUCAAGACAGAUGCAGCCCAACGGUUUUUCCUUUUUGCCAUUAUUUCCAGAUGUUAUCAAUUUUAAAGUCAGCGUUCCAUUUUAAGAACAGGAUCUAUAGGAAGGUGAUAUGUAAUCAGUAGAGUACUAUUUUGCCCUUUUUGGAGGUGUGUUCUGGUUCUACAUUUUGCCAUAAAAUGUGAGAUCAAACCAUAAAAUACAUCCCUGAAAAAAAUGCAGGCCUGAUCAAUCACUUGACUGAACUCUACUUGAAACACUUGGACUUUGGUCAAAUAAGCAUUUGCCACUUGAUUUGUACAGCAUUCCAACAAACGUCCAACUCAAGUCUUCUCUUGAGCCUGAUCUGCAAGGUUGUUUCUGAGUUUCGCUCUUGUUGCCCAGGCUGGAGUGCAAUGGCGU